rnacentral:rRNA from 1 species
CCAGCGGAUAACCACGGUAAUUCUGUGGCUAAUACGUGCAACCCGGCCCCGCUCGAUCCGCUGCUUUAGAGGCGGGCGAGGGCCGGCCACCUGGGCUGCCACCAACGGCCCUCCCACUGGGGGGGGCUAAGCGUGAAUGCUCGGGUGGGGUCCUGACCGGUCCAAUAACCUACCGGCUCAGGAGAUGGGUUUCUGACCUAUCAACUUGAAGAUACGGGCCGGACAGGCCUUGGUGAUAACGGGUACAGAGGAUCAGGGUUCGAUCCUGGAGAGGUAGCCUGAGAGAUCGCUACCACUUCUAAGGAAGGCAGCAGGCGCGCAACGUUCCCAAUGGGGGCUCCCCUGAGGACGUGACGGGGCAUAGCAAUACGCCGCCCACAAGGGCGGGGUAAUUGAAAUGGGGGCAUUUUAAAUCCCUCACCGAGUAGCAAUUGGAGGACAAGUCUGGUGCCAGCACCCGCGGUAAUUCCAGCUCCAAUAGCAUCUUAUUAAGUUGUUGCAGUUAAAACGCUCGUAGUCCGAGUCGGUGGCGUGCUGGACGGGCAGUAGCUGGGGGGGUCCGGGCCGGUACCAGUCCCAUUUGAGGGGCUCGGUGGCUGUGCCUCCCCCCCGGUGGCCCCCGCUUGGCGCCCAUCGGCUAGCCCGGGGCAGGCAAUCCCGUCUGGAAGCCGCGGGCGGCGGGGCUUCAGUGCCCCGCUGCUCACCCCGGGCACCUUUCUUUGAAUAAAUUCGAGCGCCCAAGGCAGGCCGAUUACGGCCGCUUAUAUAUACUGAAGGCUGCAGCAAAGGAUAACGGAACAGGGCGUCAGCCCGGUCUCGUUGGUACCGAGCAGCGCAAUGAUUAAUUGGGGGGAUCGGGGUCGGCCGCAUGGCGGGGGUAGGGGUGAAAUCCGUUGAUCCUCGCCAGGCGAACUAAAGCGAAAGCAGCCGACAAGUACCCUUUCUUUGAUCAAGAACGAAAGUCUGGGGAUCGAAGAUGAUCAGAUACCAUCGUAGUCCAGACCCUAAAUGAUGCCGACCAUGGAUGGGUGUCAGUCCAUCCCGACCCGGCCCGGACCUUGUGGGAAACCAUCAAGUGCUUGGGCUCCGGGGGGAGUAUGGUCGCAAGACUGAAACUUAAAGGAAUUGACGGAAGAGCACACAAGGAGUGGAGCCUGCGGCUUAAUUUGACUCAACACGGGGAAACUUACCAGGGCAAGAAAGGCUUAGGAUGGACAGCCAAUCAGGGCUUUCCAGAUCGUUUUAGUGGUGGUGCAUGGUCGUUCUUAGUUCGUGGAGUGAUUUGUCUGGUCUAUUCCGCUAACGAGCGAGAACCCAGCCUUCCGUGGUUAGGGCAAGGACAAUGGGGCUGCCCUCCCGGUGUCUCCCCUCGUCUCGGGCUGGGCAACCGGCCUGGGGUGGGGGGGGGUGCUUGGGCGGCCUUGUUCCGGCGCCAUCGAUCCGGGGGCACCAGCUUCGUUAAGGGGCUGGAGGCGGGUCAAUAACAGGUCAGUGAUGCCCUUAGAUGCUCUGGGCCGCACGCGCGCUACAAUGGGGUGAGUAGCGGGUUCACCUGUGCCGAAGGGCGGCGGGUAAUCCUCGAAAGCCCCCCAUAUCCGGGAUAGGGACGUGUAACUCGCCCCUCCAACAAGGAAUUUCUAGUAGUCAUGGGUCACCAGCCCGU